rnacentral:rRNA from 1 species
AUUGNNCGCUGGCGGAAUGCUUUACACAUGCAAGUCGAACGGCAGCACGGGAGCUUGCUCCUGGUGGCGAGUGGCGAACGGGUGAGUAAUAUAUCGGAACGUAUCCAAUAAUGGGGGAUAACUAAUCGAAAGGUUGGCUAAUACCGCAUACGCCCUGAGGGGGAAAGCUGGGGAUCUUCGGACCUAGCGUUAAUGGAGCGGCCGAUAUCAGAUUAGCUAGUUGGUGGGGUAAAGGCCUACCAAGGCAACGAUCUGUAGCUGGUCUGAGAGGACGACCAGCCACACUGGAACUGAGACACGGUCCAGACUCCUACGGGAGGCAGCAGUGGGGAAUUUUGGACAAUGGGGGCAACCCUGAUCCAGCCAUUCCGCGUGAGUGAAGAAGGCCUUCGGGUUGUAAAGCUCUUUCGCAAGGGAAGAAACGAUACUCGUGAAUAACGAGUGUUAAUGACGGUACCUUGAUAAGAAGCACCGGCUAACUACGUGCCAGCAGCCGCGGUAAUACGUAGGGUGCGAGCGUUAAUCGGAAUUACUGGGCGUAAAGCGUGCGCAGGCGGUUUGAAAAGUCAGAUGUGAAAUCCCCGGGCUCAACCUGGGAACUGCGUUUGAAACUCUCAAGCUAGAAUACGUCAGAGGGGGGUAGAAUUCCACGUGUAGCAGUGAAAUGCGUAGAGAUGUGGAGGAAUACCAAUGGCGAAGCAGCCCCCUGGG